AUAACAUACAGGGCCAUCUUGGUCUUGUAAUUGGAAUGAGUACAAUUUACAUCUCUUCACGAGGAUCAAUUGGAGGGCAAGUCUGGUGCCAGCAGCCGCGGUAAUUCCAGCUCCAAUAGCGUAUAUUAAAGUUGUUGCAGUUAAAACGCUCGUAGUCGGAUUUCGGGUCGGUUGCGCCGGUCUGCCGAUGGGUAUGCACUGGCGGAGUCGGCCUUUCUUCCGGAGACCGCGCCUCCUCUUAGCUGAGCGGGUGCGGGAGACGGAUCGUUUACUUUGAAAAAAUCAGAGUGUUUCAAGCAGGCAGCUCGCUCUUGCAUGGAUUAGCAUGGGAUAAUGAAAUAGGACUCUGGUGCUAUUUUGUUGGUUUCGAACACCGGAGUAAUGGUCAACAGGGACAGUCAGGGGCACUCGUAUUCCGCCGAGAGAGGUGAAAUUCUCAGACCAGCGGAAGACGAACCACUGCGAAAGCAUUUGCCAGGGAUGGUUUCACUGAUCAAGAACGAAAGUUAGGGGAUCUAAGACUAUCAAAUAUCGCCGUAGUCUUAACCAAAAAACAUGUCUACUAUGGAUUG
rnacentral:rRNA from 1 species